GACGAACGCUGGCGGCGUGCUUAACACAUGCAAGUCGAACGAAGUGGCGAACGGGUGAGUAACGCGUAAUCAACCUGCCCUUCAGAGGGGGACAACAGUUGGAAACGACUGCUAAUACCGCAUAUUGCAGGAGGGGAUUGCGUUUGAUUGGCUAGUUGGAGGGGUCACGGCCCACCAAGGCGAUGGACAGUAGCCGGGCUGGGGGGAGGAACGGCCAAAAUGGGACUGAGACACGGCCCAGAAUCCUACGGGAGGCAGCAGGGGGGAAUCUUCCGGCAAUGACGGAAGGCCGACGGAGCAACGCCGCGUGAGUGAUGACGGCCUUCGGGUUGUAAAGCGCUUUUAAUCGGGACGCGGUACCGGAAUAGAAAGCCACGGCUAACUACGUGCCAGCAGCCGCGGUAAUUC
rnacentral:rRNA from 1 species